AUACGGAGGGUGCAAGCGUUAAUCGGAAUUACUGGGCGUAAAGCUCGCGUAGGCGGCUCGAUAAGUCGGAUGUGAAAGCCCCGUGCUCAACCUGGGAACUGCAUUCGAAACUGCCGAGCUAGAGUUUGAUAGAGGAGAGUGGAAUUCCACAUGUAGCGGUGAAAUGCGUAGAUAUGUGGAGGAACACCAGUGGCGAAGGCGGCUCUCUGGAUCAAAACUGACGCUGAGGUGCGAAAGCGUGGGUAGCAAACAGGAUUAGAUACCCUAGUAGUCC
rnacentral:rRNA from 1 species